rnacentral:rRNA from 3 species
AAUGGCUCAUUAAAUCAGUUAUCGUUUAUUUGAUAGUACCUACCAACUACUUGGAUAUCCGUGGUAAUUCUAGAGCUAAUACAUGCUAAAAACCCCGACUUCGGGAGGGGUGUAUUUAUUAGAUAAAAAACCAAUGCCCCUCGGGGCUCCUUGGUGAUUCAUGAUAACUUAACGGAUCGCAUGGCCUUGCGCCGGCGACGGUUCAUUCAAAUUUCUGCCCUAUCAACUUUCGAUGGUAAGGUAUUGGCUUACCAUGGUUUCAACGGGUAACGGGGAAUUAGGGUUCGAUUCCGGAGAGGGAGCCUGAGAAACGGCUACCACAUCCAAGGAAGGCAGCAGGCGCGCAAAUUACCCAAUCCCGACACGGGGAGGUAGUGACAAUAAAUACUGAUACAGGGCUCUUUUGGGUCUUGUAAUCGGAAUGAGUACAAUUUAAACCCCUUAACGAGGAACAAUUGGAGGGCAAGUCUGGUGCCAGCAGCCGCGGUAAUUCCAGCUCCAAUAGCGUAUAUUAAAGUUGUUGCAGUUAAAAAGCUCGUAGUUGAACCUUGGGCCUGGCUGGCCGGUCCGCCUCACCGCGUGUACUGGUCCGGCCGGGCCUUUCCUUCUGGAGAGCCGCAUGCCCUUCACUGGGUGUGUCGGGGAACCAGGACUUUUACUUUGAAAAAAUUAGAGUGUUCAAAGCAGGCCUUUGCUCGAAUACGUUAGCAUGGAAUAAUAGAAUAGGACGUGCGGUCCUAUUUUGUUGGUUUCUAGGACCGCCGUAAUGAUUAAUAGGGAUAGUCGGGGGCAUCAGUAUUCAAUUGUCAGAGGUGAAAUUCUUGGAUUUAUUGAAGACUAACUACUGCGAAAGCAUUUGCCAAGGAUGUUUUCAUUAAUCAGUGAACGAAAGUUAGGGGAUCGAAGACGAUCAGAUACCGUCGUAGUCUUAACCGUAAACUAUGCCGACUAGGGAUCGGGCGAUGUUUCUAUCUUGACUCGCUCGGCACCU